rnacentral:rRNA from 1 species
CCACCACUAAGCCAGUGGUGAACUCCACAUACGCAUCCUUUGCUGAGGAUACGGUUAACGGAGCGAAAGCGACGUUCAACCUCAAAAGAAGCAGAGGGGGCUUAGUGGUGGGGUGACUGCGUACCUUUUGUAUAAUGGGUCAGCGACUUAUAUUCUGUAGCAAGGUUAACCGAAUAGGGGAGCCGGAGGGAAACCGAGUCUUAACCGGGCGUUAAGUUGCAGGGUAUAGACCCGAAACCCGGUGAUCUAGCCAUGGGCAGGUUGAAGGUUGGGUAACACUAACUGGAGGACCGAACCGACUAAUGUUGAAAAAUUAGCGGAUGACCUGUGGCUGGGGGUGAAAGGCCAAUCAAACCGGGAGAUAGCUGGUUCUCCCCGAAAGCUAUUUAGGUAGCGCCUCGUGAAUUCAUCUCCGGGGGUAGAGCACUGUUUCGGCUAGGGGGUCAUCCCGACUUACCAACCCGAUGCAAACUGCGAAUACCGGAGAAUGUUAUCACGGGAGACACACGGCGGGUGCUAACGUCCGUCGUGAAGAGGGAAACAACCCAGACCGCCAGCUAAGGUCCCAAAGUCAUGGUUAAGUGGGAAACGAUGUGGGAAGGCCCAGACAGCCAGGAUGUUGGCUUAGAAGCAGCCAUCAUUUAAAGAAAGCGUAAUAGCUCACUGGUCGAGUCGGCCUGCGCGGAAGAUGUAACGGGGCUAAACCAUGCACCGAAGCUGCGGCAGCGACACUAUGUGUUGUUGGGUAGGGGAGCGUUCUGUAAGCCUGCGAAGGUGUCUCGUGAGGGAUGCUGGAGGUAUCAGAAGUGCGAAUGCUGACAUAAGUAACGAUAAUGCGGGUGAAAAACCCGCACGCCGGAAGACCAAGGGUUCCUGUCCAACGUUAAUCGGGGCAGGGUGAGUCGACCCCUAAGGCGAGGCCGAAAGGCGUAGUCGAUGGGAAACAGGUUAAUAUUCCUGUACUUGGUGUUACUGCGAAGGGGGGACGGAGAAGGCUAUGUUGGCCGGGCGACGGUUGUCCCGGUUUAAGCGUGUAGGUGUGUGUUCCAGGUAAAUCCGGUUCACUUUAACACUGAGGCGUGAUGACGAGGCACUACGGUGCUGAAGCAACAAAUGCCCUGCUUCCAGGAAAAGCCUCUAAGCAUCAGGUAACAUCAAAUCGUACCCCAAACCGACACAGGUGGUCAGGUAGAGAAUACCAAGGCGCUUGAGAGAACUCGGGUGAAGGAACUAGGCAAAAUGGUGCCGUAACUUCGGGAGAAGGCACGCUGAUAUGUA